rnacentral:rRNA from 1 species
UACGGAGGGUGCAAGCGUUAUCCGGAUUUACUGGGCGUAAAGGGCGCGUAGGCGGUCAGCACAAGUCAGUUGUGAAAUCUCCGGGCUUAACCCGGAAAGGUCAACUGAUACUGUGCGACUAGAGUGCGGAAGGGGCAACUGGAAUUCUCGGUGUAGCGGUGAAAUGCGUAGAUAUCGAGAGGAACACCUGCGGCGAAGGCGGGUUGCUGGGCCGACACUGACGCUGAUGCGCGAAAGCCAGGGGAGCGAACGGG